CACACACACACACACACACACACACACACACACAACCACGCAAGCACACGCACACUUACAUGUCACCAAUUGGCAGAUUAAAAAGUUUCCUUCUCUCCAUCUCAGAACAAAAGUGUAUCCCCAAAUCCUCUCCACAGCCUUUAGGAACAAUUAUGAUCAAUAUUUCCCUAAUGGGUUGAUUAAUUAAUUUGUCUUACCUGUGCGGGCUUCCAAAUCUGACAUAAAAUUCAAAGUCUAGACAAGACAGGCUAUGCAUUCGCACUUUAUGAGUUUCAUCCGUCAAUAAGAGAAAGGGUAGUGAUGAUCGUUUUGCUGUUAUGCAAUAAAGUUAAAAAAAAAAAAAAAUUGUUUGCACUAAUGUAGAAUUUGCGCUGGGUUUGGCAGAUUUUUAUUUCAGAGACAGAAACUGUAGGCCGUGCAAAUGGCAAUCAUUUAGUCAUCCUCUGACCACUUAGCUGAAGAAUGUUUGAGUAACUUCCUUAAAGAGAGCAAACUAGGGAUAUUAAUGAGCUCUUUCAUACGCUGCCAAUAAAAAUUGGACUCCAAUAAAGGAAAAGCCUGAGACAAAACAUAGAUAAAACAUUUUUCAGUUACUGUUCCAACACUAAUAUGAACAAAAAGCUCAUUGAUAAGACAUAACAUUUAGCAGUCAUCAAAUAAACCAGGGCUUGAAUUAUUUAUGACAUCUACACAAAUAUGCUUUUCCACAAAAAAAAGCCUUGUGUUGUUGACCCACUAUGAGAGCUAAGCACAGGAAACAUCAAAGUUAAAAAUGGCUGGAGAAAUGACUUGCCCUGCCAGGUUUUAUUUGGACAGGCUUGGAGCCUUGGCGACAACAGUUUCCCCAGUUCCAUUUAAACCACCUCAAUAUGACAAUAUCCCUUUACACGGAUGCAGAUGGAAAGCUAUAGCAAAAACGACUCUGUUGUGGAAACUCCUCGGAGGGGAGUUUGUGAGCAACUUCCUCUCCUGUCCGCUGGACUUCGUGCACAAAAUGUUUUUUUUUUUUUUCCUCAAGAGGACUGUGAUUAUCUUCGAGCUCAGAGGAUCCCCGAGAUGUGGAUGUCUUCCAAGCGCUGCCAGUUACAAGGAGAGGAAGUAUCCCCCACAACUCUGGAAAUUGCAGAGAACAAGCAAAACAUUGUGACUGGUCAUCGCCAGCACGAGCGGAGACUCAAAAGCAACAACAACUGGACGGGACUCGGCACUUGAACGAGUGGGGAUGAGAGCUGCUGCGUGACAUCAGUAAACAAACCCUCGAGGGUUGAGACUGGAGUUGGCAAAUGAGUAAGUCGUGGCCCAAAAUGAAUGCCUUAAUUAAUACACAUAUACAGAUGUAUGAAGUGAUGAAACUAAGAGACUUAUAGUUCAAAGUUGUUUUCUUUACAUGUGAAAAAAAAGUGUCUUGUAAGGAACAGAUGUGAAUAUUUUAAUAUGAUAGAGAUAAUGUUUGGUUGUAACGUCGACAUAAUGUUUUAGUUGGGUCGGCUUCGUAGGUGUCAUUGGUUACUAAAUGGUGAGUUUGCUCUCUGCUUAUGUGCAGUCAGCAGUACAACUUAAUCUAUUUUUUAUCUUGUUUCAUAUAGUCAACCAAACAAGGCUGGCCUGAGUUGCUCACUCAAAUGCUGGCGACAAACUCUUAAUUCACAUCGUGUCAUAACAUGAAAAUCCUCAUUUAAAAAGUUUAUAGAGGGUUGGGGGAGAGAUAUGAUAUAUAUAUAUAUAUAUAUAUAUAUAUAUAUAUAUAUAUAUAUAUAUAUUGACUGGCUCAAUGCAACACACUGAAAUACAUCAGAAGAAUAUCCUCUUACAUUAAGAUCCACUUACACUAAAGCAAAGAUGUCAGGCACAUAAACACCAUCAUAAAUAUCUGCCACACUCACUUUCUAUCGCAGAAAAACAGCGGGUGAAACUCGCCGUGAAGAUGAAAUACCUUAGGUUUUUUUCUCAGAUGCAAAUUUAGAGCUGACCAGCUGCUUUGUUGAUAUGUUUUCACUUUAACUGUAUGCAAAAGUAACAUGGACGUGUGUUAUAUAUUUUUUUAAACCUAGCCUUGAUAAUUACAUAACCAAAGGUGAACCCCUGAAUUUAUUGUAUGUUGUGGACUUCUGGAAAAUGUUGUGACAUAGAUGCACACUGAAUAGGAAAACAUGUAAAUAGCAGACAUUUAUACUUGUGUGUCCUAAGAUGUGUUGCCGAUAGAGUAAUUUGAGACGUUUAACUUUCUUUGACUGUUAUGCCCAUCACCCAUAAUCAUCUGUGUUUGGUUUGUCCUCGCUGAUACAAUCAUGUUCCUCAUAUCGUUGCAAAUGCUGCUCCAACAUUCUUCAUUGUUUUCGCCAAUUUUUUUUCUUUUCUUCUUCUACAUACUGCACAUUAAAAAUCCACCUACGCAUCCAUUUGGCAUACUAAAACAAGAGGUUGCUGAUGUUGUUUGUGCAGCUUUGCCAGAGAAGCAUUGGAUUGGGUUACCUCUCUUUGACCUGCGAUGUUGCCUGUGAAUGAAAUGAUUAGAGGUUGCCAGUUUUAUUUUGGUUUUUGGAAGUAGUAGCGAGUUAUUUCACAUAUUUUUACUGAAGGCAAUAUUUUAUUUACCUAUAUUUCCCUUCAAAAAAACAUCCAUUACAUACUGUGUUAACUAUAAUGGCACUUCAAUGUAGAGGUCUUCAUCUUAGUGUCUUCUUCCUCUACAACAAAAGAAAAUCCAAAGUUCACCUUCUUGCUCUCUUUCCAGAAAUGUGUAUCUCAAUAAUAGUAUUCCUCAGAAAAGGUGUUUACUGAAUGUUCCAGAUGUUUCCUUAGUGUCAGAAAAAAAACUUGUAACCACAAAAUAGCCACAAGAGUUUUUAAAUAGAUGUCAAUUGUUUACUUUGGAAAUCAUUAUGGGGAGGAUGGUUUUAUUGGGAAGGAGUAGAUACAAAGUACGUUUUUCAUUUCUGCGUAGUAAAACUUUUAACAGGAAUAGCAGAAUACUCUCAGAAACAAAGUCUGCAAGUUGUAACAAUAAAUAAAGUAAGAA